UUGCGACCCCAGGUCAGGCGGGACCACCCGCUGAGCUUAA
rnacentral:rRNA from 1 species